ACGGUAAUUUAUGUUAAAGAAAAGUAAAUAAUUAAAUAAAACAUUCUAACGCAUUGUAAUAUAUUGGAUUGGGGAAUAAGUUCAUAGCGUUUUAAUAAUUUCUUUUAUUUUGCAACGAUUUGUUUGCUGUUUGUUUUGAGGAUUAGAAAUGGAAUACCCAGGAGGCAAAAAUCAACAUUUUCGACACCUGCUCUUGUUUGCUUUUCAUCGAGGUCAAAAAGCUGCAGAAGCAGCGCGGGACAUUUGAGACGUGUAUGGAGAAGGUGUCAUAGGCGAGUCUACAGCACGGAAAUGGUUUGCUAAGUUCAAAAAUGGCGACUUUAACGUCGAUGACAUGUACCGCAGCGGAAGGCCUUCUGAAUUCGAUGAAGAACGUCUCAAAUCACUUUUGAAGGAGAACGGUCGCCAAACCAGUCGUGAAUUGGCGGAAAAAAUGAACUACGAUCAUAAAACGAUUCUCAAUCACCUUCAUUCAAUAGGAUUUAUCGAAAAAUUAGGAGCGUGGGUGCCUUACGAGCUCAACAAAAACAAGAAAGAAAGUCGCCUUCAAAUGGCUUCUCAGCACCUUACUCGCCAUCGAACAACACGUGGUCAUAAUUAAAUUCAAAAUAUGUGAACUGUUAUUGAAAUUUAAAGUUUUAUAAAUAAAUGAUUACAAUUAUUUUG